CGGGGUGUUGCGCAGUUGGUAGCGCGCCUGCUUUGGGAGCACGGAGUAAGCAACUGUUUCGUUUUUUAUUUCUUUGAAUAAAUCACAUUUUUCUAUUUUACCUCUU
rnacentral:tRNA from 1 species